AUUUAAAUAGCUUAUAAUUAUAAAGUUUAAUAUUGAAGAUAUUAAGAAGAUUUUUUCUUUAAAUU
rnacentral:tRNA from 1 species